UACAGCUCCGAUUUGACCCCUAGCCUGGGAACCUCCAUAUGCCGCGGGAGCGGCCCAAGAAAUAGCAAAAAAAGACAAAAAAGAAAAAAGAAAGAAAGAAAAGAAAAUUGGCAGUGUGAAAGGGGAAAGUAUUUAAUUGCGGAGAGCAAUAAUUAUAUUCUACAUGUUGGCACAGCUCAUAAGGAGUGAAGAAUAAUAGAGAAUGAGGGAACUACUUUAUUGUUUACCUUGCUCGAUACCUUCAUUCAUUGCUCUGGAAUCAGGGCCUUGCUUGGGGAGGGAAUCCGCUACAGCUACACUGAAAAUCACCUAAUAAAUGAUGCUUCUUUCUUUCUUGUCUUCCAGACUCCAUCCUUCAUCUCUUUCUGAGCUUUAAGCUGGGGAACUGCCAGCUAUACAGCAUUUCCUUAUACAUUUUUCUGUUACCCUUAUGCAGAGAAUUCAGAAUGGAGUGUUGAUGGACAGUCAGCUCAGGAAGAGAACCAUUAGCCCUUUGACUUUAUCUAGGCCUAAAAGUAUGAUAUUGAAACAUGCAAAGUCAACACCUACUACAUAGACUUGUUUCCUAGGCAAGAUUUAUUCCAGUUGGUCUGCUCAUUCCUUAUAUUAAUUUGUUUUCUAUGAUGUCACCAGUAUUCUGACUUUUUAACUACAUCUGUUAUAAACUGGUCUAACCCUGCCCCCUUCUAUACCAUCUUCCAACAUUCACACACACACACACACACACACACACACACACACAUGUGUAUGCUGCACACACAUUACGGAACUAUUCAGUCAGUUAAGACCAAUGCUCUUGUCUGAACUGUCUUAGCAUUUCCAUUUUAUUAUUUGUCGACUUGAUUGGAACGUCUAUGCUUUACCUGGCUGACAUUUAGGCAGACUUGCAUAAAAUACUAUAUUAUUUCUAGCUGAAUAGGAACCCCAGCUUCAACCUGUUGGAGAGUGUUGCUGACGUAUACUGUAGGAAGGAAGAGAAAAGAGCUAUAAGUGAGCAUAAUAAAUAGAAGUCAAAAGGUCCCUAACAUUUCCUUGUGGCCUAUUCAAAUCCUGUAAACUCUGCCUUUACAAAUCUUCAGACCUACUCCCAAUUCUCUUUCAACAGAACAGCCUAUUUCCUUUCCCUCUUUUGACUCUUUAUUGAACAUUUACUGUAUCCCAAGGGCUAAAGUGUGCACUUCACAUUCAUCUGGCUCGUCUAACGCUUGCAAUAACCCUGUGGGGUGUGGUACUACCCCAUUUUAGUAUCAGCAGCUUCUGUAAUACUGGGAGGGGAGAGGUAUGAUGGAUGUGUGCCUAGCAAUGCCUUCAUUAUACCCUGUUGUAAUAGGUUGCUUAUUUAUUUGCUGCUUCCCUCAUCAUACUAUAUAUCACUCAUUAUAUCUAUAACAAACGGCAUAGUGCUAGGUAAUUCAGUAUCACCCGUAUGAGGGAAAUCCUGCUUAUAAAUCAUGAGAAACCUGUGCAAGGUCAUUUUGGCCAGGGACUCACCCCUUCUGCAACAGGAAAGCAUUAAGUUCAACAUAACCAGUUAGGAAGUUCAAUUCCUGGUUUAGAAACUGUGAUCCCACAUCAAGCUCCUGCACACCGUGCCCCCUCCCCCAAAAAAAUCAGUGUUUAUAUGGUAUUAUAGUUUGAUUUCAAUAAUAACUGCAUAUACAGGCAUUGGUGUGUAACAAUGUUUCUAACACAAUGUUAAAUGCGGAAAAAAAAACAGGAUUCCUAAUCAUAUAUAUAGAAUAAACCAAUUUUUGAACAUAUAGAUGCAUAUUUGCAUGUGGGUAUGUGUGUGUGUGUGAGUAUCCAGGCACAUUUUUAUUAAAUCAAUCCUGUGUGUGUGUGUGCAUACAGGUACAUUUUUAUUCUUCAUUCAUUUUUAUUUAAUCAAUCCCCUAUUAUUGGAUAAUUGGAAUAUUUCUAUUUUUAUUUUAUUUUUAUUUAUUUUGUCUUUUUGUCUUUUUAGGGCCGCACCCGCCACAUAUGGAGGUUCCCAGGCUAGCGGUCGAAUUGGAGCUGUAGCCUCUGGCCAACACCAGAGCCACAGCAACGUGGGAUCCAAGCUUCGUCUGUGACCCACACUACAGCUCACAGCAACAGCAGAUCCUUAACCCCCUGAGCAAGGCCAGGGAUCGAACCUGCAACCUUGUGAAUGCUAGUCGGAUUUGUUAACUGUCUGAGCCACGGCAGGAACUCCCUUAAUUAAUCAACUUUUUUUUUUUUUUUUUUGUCUUUUGAAUAACUGGGAUAUUUCUAAUGUUUUGUGAUUAUCACUAUUAGAAAAAAAAAGUCUACAUUGAAUAUUCUAGUACAGCCCCUCUGUACAUUUGUCUAAUUAUUUUGUCAGGAUAAGAGGACCUAUUUGAUGUCCAUUUCAGUGCAGCUAUUUGGUAUAAAUUGCUUCUCUGCCUCCAGGAAUUGGCUUUUCUUCUGGGAAUAGUGGCUGCAACAUUAUCCGGUGACUGGAGUAAUAUGAGUCCAUGUGACAUGAUUAACAAAGCAUGCCAAAGGUCAUCUCCAUCUUAUUUAUCAAUGAGGUAUCUGACACUCCUGAGAGACACUUAUCUUUUCAAAAAGUCUGUUCCUGAGCUGAAUGCCUAUAAUCAGACACAGCAAAGUCAAGUCUUCUCAUAUCAAGAUGAUCACAUUUAAUCUGAUACAUAUAACCACCAGGCAGAAGCCCUCGUCAACUGCAUUUCAAGGGAAUGGGUUAAAUUAAGGGAGUGGGGGGAGUGCCUUAUAUACAGCCAAGACAGAGAACUGACUCUUGCAACCAGGGACUUCAACUAGUGCUUCUAUUAUAGCACUAAAAUGGAACUAAUGUUUUAAAAUAAAUUUAUAAGACUUUUUUUUUUUCUUUCUAUGGCCACACUUGCUGCAUAUGGAAGUUCCCAGGCUAAGGGUUCGAAUCAAAGUUGCAGCUGCCAGCCUAUACCAUAGCCACAGCAAUGCCAGGUCCUUAAUCCACUGAGUGAGGCCAGGGGUCAAAUCUGAAUCCUUAAGGACACUAUGUUGGUUUCUUGACCCCCUGAGCCAUAGUGGGAACUCCUAGAAGACUUUUUGAACUAAGGAAUCUAAAAAAAAAUGGAAACUCUUUGCUGACUUCCUUGCAGGUCAACUUGAAUAUGUGGUCUCACAAAGAUCCUCAGUCCUGGGUAAGCUGAUCUGAUCAGGACUCUCAUGUUAAAGUGAAUCCAGACUCACAUGUGCUGACAGCAAACAUUCCUGGAGGACCUACUCUAGCCAGUACCAUGUUCCCUGCUGAUGCAGAAGCUGUGCCAUAAAGGAUGAAUAGGGGUUACCAGGCAGAGAGGAGGAAGGAGGGCCUUGCUUGUAGAGGGAGCCACACACAGAGAAUGCAGUGGGGAGUCUACAUGACACAUCUGGAACUGCAAAUAGUCUGGCUUUGUUGGAGGUGGCUUCCAAGCUGAGGAGUAAAGGGAACUGAUGUGGAUAGCACACCAGGAAGUGACAGAGGACAGAGGCCGUGCAUCUCCAUGGCACUUAUCACACCACCUACUUGGAUUUUUGAUGAGCACUGAAGCAGAACCUCAGUUUAUUUAUUUUUUAAAAUUUUUUUUUAUUUUUAUUUUUUGCUAUUUCUUGGGCCGCUCCCGCGGCGCAUGGAGGUUCCCAGGCUAGGGGUCGAUUCGGAGCUGUAGCCGCUGGCCUACACCAGAGCCACAGCAACGUGGGAUCUGAGCCGUGUCUGCAACCUACACCACAGCUCACGGCAACGCUGGAUCGUUAACCCACUGAGCAAGGACAGGGACCGAACCCGCAACCGCAUGGUUCCUAGUCGGAUUCGUUAACCACUGCACCAUGACAGGAACUCCAGAACCUCAGUUUAAAUCCUUGUUCAUACCUUUAAAAAUCACUUGGGUGGCUUCCCCAUUGCUCUUAGGGAAGACUGAAUCCUUAAUCCAACCUACAGAGCCCCCGCAAUGUCUCCUGACUCUCUCUCUCUUUUUUUUUUAAGGGAGGCACCGGCAGUGUAUGGAGAUUCCCAGGCUAUGGGUCAAAACCUCAGCCACAGUAACUCGGGAUCUGAGCUGCGUCUGUGACCUACACCACAGCUCAUGGCAAUGCUAGAUCCUUAACCCACUGAGCGAGGCCAGGGAUCGAACCUGCAUCCUCGUGGAUACCAGUUGGGUUCAUUAAGCACUAAGCCAGGACAGGAAUUCCUCUCCUGCCUCUUUAGUCUCAUUCCUCACCAGGCCCUCCUUCUUCCUUCCAGCUGUGUUGACUUUCCUUGAAUUUUGCUAAUGGGCUGUAUUGCUGCCUCUUGACAAAGGGCCUUUGCAUAUUAUGUGACCUCUAUAUGGAGGCCUUCCUUCCUGACACUCUUGCCUAUUCAUUUCUUCUUAUUCCUCAGGUCUCAGCUCAAUUAUUUCUCAAUUCAAGAAAUGCAUCACUGUAUUCUCUGACUGAAUCUAAUUUCCCACUUAGAUGUUCUCAUAACACCAUGUAUUUUUUUUUUCACAGUACUACGUAACAUACAUAACACCAUGUAUUUUUCUUUUACAGUGUAGGAGGAGUAAUUGUCACUGCGGUAUAAUUAUUUGAUUAGUGUUAGCUUCCUCUGAACAAGUAACAUCAUCAUCAGUAUCAUCGCCAUUGAAUUGGCUAGCAUCAGGUAGAGUGCUUACCACAUGCCUCACACUGUUCUGAGCAUUUUGUAUGUAUUAUCUCACUCAAUUUUCAGAACAGCUCCUAUGAUGCAAAUGAUAAAACUGAGGGAGAGAAGAGUUAAGAAACUCACCCAGGAGUUCCCUGGUGGCACAGUGUGUUAAGGAUCUGUCAUUGUCCCUACUUUGGCUUGGGCAGCAGCUGUAGUACAGGUUUGGUCCCUGGCCUAAGAAUGUCUAUGUGCCACAGGCACAGC
ensembl:lncRNA